GCCUGGGUGGCUCAGUUGGUUAAGCGUCUGACUUUGGCUCAGGUCAUGAUCUCAGGGUUCGUGAGUUCAAGCCCCGCGUCAGGCU
rnacentral:tRNA from 1 species